rnacentral:misc_RNA from 1 species
CUGCCAAACAAUUCAUUCAUAUGCAUGCAAAAUAAAGCAUGUUUAAUAUUAAUAUAUUCAUCAGGAUAUGCUGACAAUUAAAAAUAUAACUGGUCUUUGUGUGCUAGUGAUCUUCAUUCGCAAUCUAAUACCAUAUAUUUGAUCAUAGAAAAUGAGCAUUAGAGGGUUGUAGCAAAAGCAAAUGAUGAUACCUCUAUAGGGGUAAGCAUCUUCUUUUCACUGAUCUUGUCAUAU